ACAGCAGUAGCCGCGGGAAUACAGAGGGUGCGAGCGUUAAUCGGAUUUACUGGGCGUAAAGCGUGCGUAGGCGGCUUCUUAAGUCGGAUGUGAAAUCCCUGAGCUUAACUUAGGAAUUGCAUUCGAUACUGGGAAGCUAGAGUAUGGGAGAGGAUGGUAGAAUUCCAGGUGUAGCGGUGAAAUGCGUAGAGAUCUGGAGGAAUACCGAUGGCGAAGGCAGCCAUCUGGCCUAAUACUGACGCUGAGGUACGAAAGCAUGGGGAGCAAACAGGAUUAGAGACCCCAGUAGUCCCUGUCUCUUAUAC
rnacentral:rRNA from 1 species